rnacentral:rRNA from 1 species
GUAGGGUGCGAGCGUUAAUCGGAAUUACUGGGCGUAAAGCGUGCGCAGGCGGUUCGUUAAGUUCGUUGUGAAAGCCCCGGGCUCAACCUGGGAACUGCAAUGGAAACUGGCGGGCUUGAGUGUGGCAGAGGGGGGUGGAAUUCCGCGUGUAGCAGUGAAAUGCGUAGAGAUGCGGAGGAACACCGAUGGCGAAGGCAGCCCCCUGGGCCAACACUGACGCUCAGGCACGAAAGCGUGGGGAGCAAACAGGAUUAGAUACCCUGGUAGUCCACGCCCUAAACGAUGCUCACUAGGUGUUGGGGAAGCGAUUCCUUGGUACCGUAGCUAACGCGUGAAGUGAGCCGCCUGGGGAGUACGGCCGCAAGGUUA